UCCCCAGCCCAGAGCCCCGUCCCGCACUCCGAAACUCUCAGCCCCAACCCGAAGCCCUCUCCUGCACCCAAAAUCCCUCAGCCCCAACCCCACCUUGGAGCCUAAACCCCAAGCCGGAGCCCUUACCCUCUCCGGCACCCCAGCCCCCGAGCUAGCCCGAUGAAAAUGAGCGAGCGAGUGAGGGUGGGGAGAGUGAGCAACCGAGGGAGGGGGGAUGGAGUGGGCAGGGCCUCUGUGAAAAGAUGGGACAUGGACAGGGCUUCAGAGAAGGGGCAGGGCAGAGGGCGGAGCAAGGGUGUUCGGUUUUGUGUGAGUAGAAAGUUGUUGACCCCGUAAUUUUAUAGGUUUGCAGUCUGAGUCCCAGUGAGCUGAGCCAGGCCAGCCGCAGAUGUGCAGUGGGUCUUUUAUUGCAGUGUAGACAUACUCAAAGACACACCACUGUGGUGGAGGGGAGCAGGCAGCUUGCAUGCAGCAUGGUUCACGACUCUGGAAGGAGGAAGGUUUGACCAAGGGCAAUAUUUUCAAAAGUGAAAGUGGGAGCCCAAGUCCCAUUUUCAGAAGUAAUUUAGGCACUUCGGAGGCUCGCUCUCAUUGAAAGUCAAUGGGACUGAGGCUCCUGAGUCUUUUCUGACAAUGGCUCCUAAGCACCUUUGAAAAUGUUAUCCUUAGACUCCGAAGGCCCCUUUUGAAAAUGGGGCUUGAGUGCUUUUGAAAAUUCUACCCUAAAGCUCUGUACCUACAAAAAAUGCCACUGGCUCAUUUAUAUGACAGCAGAGCUGCCCAGACCUUUUGAAAUCUGUCUACUUAGUAGUCAGGAUAUUUAUUUUAUGCUCAUUCUUUUAUUUAAGUUCUUCCACUGAGCCCAUCACUGGGAUAGCUGAGUGCUUUAUCCUGAGGCCAUCAAAGCCAGACCCUUCUGGCUAUUUAAAAAGGAAUCCCAGAGCUACCGGGGUUUGCAAUGGAGGGACUCCUGUAAGUUGAUAAUCCACCUAUGUGACAACCCAAACCCUGAAACGCAGAUCAAAGGAGUGAAUUGACCUGUUCUGCUCCAGUUCUGAUGAGAGGCCAGGUGGUCUUAUGAACACAGCCCUGCAUUGGAAUUCCCCCCUCAAAGCCUGGCUGUAUCACUGACUCGUGGGGUAGCUCUGGUGUGUUCAUCUCCAUAGGCUCAAGGUGCCAUUACACAGAUUACAUAAGAACAUCAGAACGGCCAUACUGGGUGAGACCAAAGGUCCAUCUAGCCCAGUAUCCUGUCUUCCAACAGUGGCCAAUGCCAGGUGCCCCAGAGGGAAUGAACAGAACAGGUUCCUUUAUGAUGCUCCGAAAGGGCACAGCUGGAUCCCUUCGUUUGGGAGGAGCAGCUGUCUUUUCUGCUCAGAUACAAGAAUCAAUCUGAUGCAGGCUGGUUUGGGAUGGCAAACCCGUGUUUCCCAAGCCAUCUUGGGGCUCCGAGAAUCACUUUAUUAGUCCCUUUCUCGAGCUUGUGGAGGAUGUGAGACGUCAAUAGGAAAGAAGGCAGGAUUCCUUCUUAGCCAGUCUACAGUGAAAACACGUGCUGAGUAAGCCACCCACCCAAAGAGGUCUCCACGGUAAGACUAGCAGAAGAACAGUAGCUGAGAGAAUCUGGAGCUGUUCCAUUAUGCAAAAUGUGUUCAGGAAUAUUGCCUCUUUGCUCAAUUACAUCAGAACCUUCGCUGGGACACUCAUACCAGACUGCCAACCGCCUGGCCCUCACUCAGAAGCUGGGAUCCAAUCUAUGUACACUUAUGACUACAGGAUUGCCUGCUUCUUUAUCUGUGUCCCUCUCCCACCCCUGCUUAAAUACAUGAUACAACUGCAUGACACUUAAACACUACAUCUAUGAGGACGUGGGGAGAGGAGGAUUAUUGACACGGGGAACCAUUCAGGGGAAUCUAACUGGACUGAAGCAACGGAAAGUGGAGGAUGGGAUAAAAAAAAAACAGAAGGAAGAAGGAGAGAGGUUACUCAGAUUACAUAAACCAAACCCUUAUAUUACCACUCACUCUGUCUGCUU